rnacentral:rRNA from 1 species
AUUGAACGCUGGCGGCAGGCUUAACACAUGCAAGUCGAGCGGGGAAGGGUAGCUUGCUACCUAACCUAGCGGCGGACGGGUGAGUAAUGCUUAGGAAUCUGCCAUUUAGUGGGGGACAACAUUCCGAAAGGAAUGCUAAUACCGCAUACGUCCUACGGGAGAAAGCAGGGGAUCUUCGGACCUUGCGCUAAAUGAUGAGCCUAAGUCGGAUUAGCUAGUUGGUGGGGUAAAGGCCUACCAAGGCGACGAUCUGUAGCGGGUCCGAGAGGAUGAUCCGACACACUGGGACUGAGACACGGCCCAGACUCCUACGGGAGGCAGCAGUGGGGAAUAUUGGACAAUGGGGGGAACCCUGAUCCAGCCAUGCCGCGUGUGUGAAGAAGGCCUUAUGGUUGUAAAGCACUUGAAGCGAGGAGGAGGCUCUUUUGGUUAAUACCCAAGAUGAGUGGACGUUACUCGCAGAAUAAGCACCGGCUAACUCUGUACCAGCCGCCGCCGUAA